rnacentral:tRNA from 1 species
UGGGGCGUCGCCAAGCGGUAAGGCACCUGAUUUUGGUUCAGGCAUUCGGAGGUUCGAACCUCCGCCCCAG